rnacentral:rRNA from 1 species
CGCUGGCGGCAUGCCUAACACAUGCAAGUCGAACGAGACCUUCGGGUCUAGUGGCGCACGGGUGCGUAACGCGUGGGAAUCUGCCCCUCGGUUCGGAAUAACACAGAGAAAUUUGUGCUAAUACCGGAUAAUGACUUCGGUCCAAAGAUUUAUCGCCGAGGGAUGAGCCCGCGUAAGAUUAGCUUGUUGGUGGGGUAAUGGCCUACCAAGGCGACGAUCUUUAGCUGGUCUGAGAGGAUGAUCAGCCACACUGGGACUGAGACACGGCCCAGACUCCUACGGGAGGCAGCAGUGGGGAAUAUUGGACAAUGGGCGAAAGCCUGAUCCAGCAAUGCCGCGUGAGUGAUGAAGGCCUUAGGGUUGUAAAGCUCUUUUACCAGGGAUGAUAAUGACAGUACCUGGAGAAUAAGCUCCGGCUAACUCCGUG